AAUAUAUUUAGGUCAGUUGUUAUAGUGUAUAAUCUUGUUAACUGGGGAAGUGAUUUAAAUGCAAAAAUGUAUUGAUCACUUAUAAAUAUGUGUCUGUUGUGUUGAAAACACAUUUUAUUGUGAUAUGACGUGUGUAAAUGAUGAGGUGAAUGAUUCGAACAGUGCACUUUAUAGCCUCUACUAAAAAGAAUUACGUCCCAAAAUAUAACCACGCCCAACACUUAAAUGUAUAUACUCCCCGGGGUAAGCAUACGUAGCAACUGAUUAAAACACAAGAAAUGAAACCUGAUCUAUUAAACCAAAUUUUUAUACAAGCCCCCGGUACCAGCCCAAGUACCCUUAGACGAAAGAAUAUUAUAAACAGUUACCACGUAAAGGAGCUAACUUAAUAAAACUGUUAGAUACAUCAUUUACAUAUCGAGUAUUCUAUAAAGUACAACGUUGCGUUACAUGAUCCAUUGAUCUAUCUGGCGAUCUAUUACCUACAAAACUAUUUUAUUCUUAAAUUUGAAUCUCUUCGUUUACUUUAUGCCGUGACUCUGACC
rnacentral:lncRNA from 1 species